GUGGGGAAUAUUGGACAAUGGGCGAAAGCCUGAUCCAGCCAUGCCGCGUGUGUGAAGAAGGUCUUCGGAUUGUAAAGCACUUUAAGUUGGGAGGAAGGGUUGUAGAUUAAUACUCUGCAAUUUUGACGUUACCGACAGAAUAAGCACCGGCUAACUCUGUGCCAGCAGCCGCGGUAAUACAGAGGGUGCAAGCGUUAAUCGGAAUUACUGGGCGUAAAGCGCGCGUAGGUGGUUUGUUAAGUUGGAUGUGAAAUCCCCGGGCUCAACCUGGGAACUGCAUUCAAAACUGACUGACUAGAGUAUGGUAGAGGGUGGUGGAAUUUCCUGUGUAGCGGUGAAAUGCGUAGAUAUAGGAAGGAACACCAGUGGCGAAGGCGACCACCUGGACUAAUACUGACACUGAGGUGCGAAAGCGUGGGGAGCAAACAGGAUUAGAAACCCUAGUAGUCC
rnacentral:rRNA from 1 species